CCUACGGGAGGCAGCAGUAGGGAAUCUUUCGCAAUGGGCGAAAGCCUGACGGAGCAACGCCGCGUGCAGGAUGAAGGCUUUCGGGUGGUAAACUGCGUUUGUAAGCGAGAAACUUGAUGGUAACUUUAGAGUAAGCAUCGGCUAACUACGUGCCAGCAGCCGCGGUCAUACGUAGGAGCCGAGCAUUAUCCGGAGUAACUGGGUGUAAAGAGUUGCGUAGGUGGCAUCAUAAGUAGCUGGUGAAAGCUGGUGGCUCAAACAUUCAGACUAUUCGGUAAACUGUUAAGCUCGAGAGCGUUAGGGGUAAAUGGAAUUCCUAGUGUAGCGGUGAAAUGCGUAGAUAUUAGAAGGAACACCAGUAGCGUAAGCGGGUUACUGGGCCGUAACUGACGCUAAGGCACGAAAGCGUAGGGAGCAAACGGGAUUAGAUACCCCUGUAGUC
rnacentral:rRNA from 1 species